ACUGAUAGCAGCUUUCCAUUAACUGCUGCUCCUAUCAACACAAAGAAGAAGCAGGACCAUCAGGCACAGAAAGGACCGUACAUCCAACAACUUCAGUUGAGGCCUCCUGUUUUUCUUCAAGUGACAAUAGUGCAGCAGAAGAUGUAAGGUAUCAACAACCUGCCCAUCAGCUACGGAAUGCUCCAAGCCCCAUAAAGCGCACGGUUGCCUCUGCCCCAAGAAAAAAAGAACAGUUCAACCAGGUCAAUCCCCAGGCAGGUGAAUCAACCUACCCCUUGGCCUACUGAUGACAGCGAUGACACGUGGCACUCUCCAGAAGCGGGAGUGUUGGUGAGGCUGAAAGAGAGCA